CUGCCUUCGACGUCUUGCCCAUCUCUCUCUCUGUCUCUCUUUCUCUUUCUUUUUCACAUUUCCAAACGCUGCUCAGCACCACCAAGUUCAAGCAAAUUGAGCUCUGAAACUUCCACUCACAAAUCGGAGGCUAAGCUCGAAUUUCAUCUUGUCCCGAAUAGCUCGAACUUUGGCUUCCCAGUUAAUCGACCAAUUGUCUAGCAAAAAAACUGGCAGCUGCGGUUGAUAAGAUGACAAACGUGGUAGACAAAUGUUACAUUGAUCAUCCGGGUGGUCGUCCGAUCGGUCAUUCGGGUAUUCGAUUGGCAAAUACAAAUUCGGACCAUUUGGACAAGCUCAAUUGGAGCUAUCAAGAAUUAUUCUUUGAUGUGUAGUCGUUGGCGUUGCAGCGGCAAUAUUUUAAUUUUAGGGAGUCCAUUUAUAUUUUUUUUAAAAAAAAUUACUUUUUGCAUAGUUUAAUUUGAAUUAUUUUUAUUUUUAGAAAGUGUGAAUUUUGUUGUCGCCAUAGAAAUGGAGAAAGUU